GUAAUAACGUCGACGGGGAUACGUAUAUGGCCUCUUCUUUAACCAGAGAGUCCGGGAAAGGUGGAAGCCGGAUAAGAAUGCUGUAUAUAUCUCACCCCAGAGUUGCUGUUCCGAAAGAAGAGAUUUUAGUAGGAAUAAGCCGUGAAGCACGCGUUAUGUGCCAGGGUUAGCAUAGGAGAGGCUAACUCGUUGAGGUUGCUGACCGUGAGGCAGCAACGAAUUUGGGUGGUACCGCGAAACUCUUUCGCCCCAGAC
rnacentral:ncRNA from 1 species